UACGGGGGAUGCAAGCGUUAUCCGGAAUUAUUGGGCGUAAAGGGUCCUGAGGUGGCUAGCCAAGUCUAUUGUGAAAUAUCAGGGCUUAACCCUGAACAUGCGGUGGAAACUAGAAAGCUUGAGUACAGUAGGGGCGGAGGGAAUUUCCGGUGGAGCGGUGAAAUGCGUAGAGAUCGGAAAGAACACCAACGGCGAAAAGCACUCUGCUGGGCCGACACUGACACUGAGAGACGAAAGCUAGGGGAGCGAAUGGG
rnacentral:rRNA from 1 species